rnacentral:piRNA from 1 species
CAGAAUGAAUGUGUUGCCCAGGCCC